AUGUGAGAGCUCUGUAGCUAGUUCAGACUGUUCCGUUCUAGGUGCUGUGCCCACGAGAUAGCUUCGGGAAGCCUGUGACCAAAGGCUUUGACCACCCAAUUGUAUCCUCUCAGGUGGUGGUUUUUAUAAAUUUAAUUGUGCAUAGGACUCACCUGGGGCAUUUGUCCAAGACCUGGGCAGGGCCCCAGGAGAAUCUGAUUGUCAGAUUGGGUUCCCCCGAUCGAUGCGUUUUAAGGAGCUCUUGCUCCCUAAAGUGAUUCUGCAACAGGUGUUUCACAAACUGAGAAACUCUUUGAACAGAAAGGUAUCCUUUCUCUCUGGGUUCCCAUUACUCCAUUGGCCUCCUUGCUGGAAGGCUGGCCAGCCUUUGGCAGGCCAGGGAAUGGAUUUGGAGCCCACUUGCCUUAGGGCUGCCAACUGUAACUACUAGCUACUUUCUGCCUAGGACGUCCACUCCCUUGAUAACAGACCACUGUUUCCGUGGUCCCUAUAGCCACAUGCUUUCUGGCUCUUUCCACCUGCUUCGCAUUUCUUCAUCUGUCCCUCUCCACUCUGUUGUCCUCCUUUCUCUGCUCCUUCCACUGAAUCUCAUUCCAUUUCAUCUAUCCCAUAUAUUGCAAGCUGGUGUCCUUCAGAAUUCUGGAAUGUGAGAUGUCCUCCAUGCCUACCCCCUUUCCUGCAAAUACUGAACAAAUUAUUUCCAGGUUUGAGGAUUGCGCUGCAUCCCCAGUAGCAACCUAUUAACUUUCCUUUCCAGGGAGUUUCAGGGUUUGUUUUUAUGUUUUUUUUUUUUUUUUUUUUUUUUUUUGCAUGAACCUGAUCUGCCACCCUUUAUAUGUUUUCAGUGCAUUACUUUUCUUUUUCCCAGGUGUCCACUAACUUCUGGAACAUGGCGACAGAAAAAGUGGGCCAGAUAAUUUGUGGGAUCUGAUUGGGAGAAUGGUUGCCAACAACCCAAUUUCUCUCUGACUAGCAAGGACCUUGAAAUGAGGAAGUGGAUGGACAGGUGGAAGGAUGCUAAACACGAGAAUCUUCACAAGGAUGUGAGCUCUGUGAAGGCAUGGCUUUUAGACUGUUUUCUUCACUGCAGUCUCUCCAGUGCCUGGGACAUUGCUGAGCUUAUUCCAGGGAGAAGCCCCUGGCUCAUUUGGUCCAUAAAGAGGGGGACCCAAUGCAGCCCCAGGUGGUCAGGACAGACUUUCCAGCAGAAGUGAGAUGGAAGAUGGGUAUGCGUUGGCCAAGCGAGAGUAAAGAGAAAAGUCAAAGAAUGAUGACCCUGAAGACAACAGAAACCAUCAGUCCACCACCUGACAAUGGACUUGAUGACUCUGAAAUGAUCUGUGGAUGGAGAAUAAUAUAGACACCUUCAGCAAUAACCCUGUCUUCUGAGCUAAACCUAUAAAACCCCUUUCUAUCUCCUCUCAAGGUGGGACACAGUUUCGAGGGAUUAGCCUGCUGUGACCUCCUGUGCCUCGCAAAGCAAUAAAGUUGUUCUUUCUGCUUCACCCCAAACUCUGCCUCUCAGAGUUAAUUUGUACCGGUGUACAGAGGCUGCAUUUCGGCUACAGAGCUUUGGGAAAGGCACGUACAGAAACAGAUCUUACCAUGGCGUGUGCUGCAAAGUGACAGAACAGAGGGGGUAUGGUUAUCUAAAGAAUCUUUACCUGUCUUCAUUUUCUGUCCUGGGAUACAGUCACUUGUUGCUGUAGGCCACAGAUAGGAAUCUCAGAGCCAUGAACAUGAGGUUGCAAAUGUUCUAUGGAAGGAAGAGGAGUCAUCUUUCUCUGCA